rnacentral:rRNA from 1 species
UAAGUAUAUAAAGGAAUUAUUAUGGAAUUUUAGCUAUGUAUUAAGGAGAAUUAAUAUAAAACAAAGAAAUGAAAUAUUUCUUAGUUUAAUAAACUCUAGAAGAAAUUUAAUAAUAAACGAAGUGAAUUGAAAUAUCUUAGUAACUUUAGGAAAAGAAAUCAAAAGAGAUUCUAUGAAUAGCGUGAGCGAAAGUAGAGGAGUCUAUUAAGUAGAAUGGUCUAUAAACUGUUUGAAAGGGGAACCUUCCUCAAAGACUAAAUAUAAUACAUAAGCGAUAGUGUAAAAGUACCGUGAGGGAAACGAAUAAAAAUAGUAAUUUUAGAAGCAGUUCGAGCGCAAGCUAAAGAACGUACCUUUUGCAUAAUGGGUCACCAAGUUAACAUUAGAUGCGAGGAUUAUUCCGUAGUUAAACCAAACGUUAAAAUAACGAUAAGUGUCUAAAGUUAGACCCGAAGCCUGGUGAUUUUACCACAAUCAGGAUUAUAAAGGUCCGAACGGGUGAUUGUAGCAUAAAUCUCCGAAGAAUUGUGGUAGGUAUAGUGAAAGACAAUACUGACUAGGAUAGCUGGUUUUCUGCGAAACCUAUAACAGUAGGCAAUUUAAUAAAAUAUCUUAGCAGGUACAGAAUUUAAUCUCAGGCAAUAUUAUAUUGCGCAAAUUGGGGAAUCGUGAAGAUUUUAUCAGUGAGUAUGUAGACUCGGAAUGGCAAAGAUAUAUAUUGAAUGAUCAGACAUAGAAUGAUAAGGUUGUAUGUCAAAAGGGAAACAGCCCAGAACAAGAGUUAAGGUUCCUAAAUUAUUUGUUAAGUGAAAUUAAGAAGGUUUUUAUUAAAGUCGACAAGGAGAUAGGCUUAGAAGCAGCCAUAAUUUUAUGACCUCGUAACAGAGCGCUUGUUAAGUUAUAAAAGCAUCGAAAAUAUAACGGAUCUAAACAAUAUACCGAAACCUUGUCCAUAAAUUAUCAAAUAAUUAUUUAUUUGAUUCUUAUGGGGUAGCAGAACGUUGAAUUAAAUUAUGAAUGGAAUUUUAUAAAUUUUAUUAAGAAAAUAUUUAACUCAAGUGAGAAUGGUGACAUGAGUAACGAAAAGAAUAUAGUUUAGUAAGGAUGCAAGUUCUUACUUUACAUAUCCGCCUAAAGCUUAUGGAUAAAUUUAAGUAACGGCCUCUAAGUUUCUAAUCUAAAGAUUAAAACGAUGAGUAAAUCUUUUAUUAUGAAGGACGACAUUUUUUAGUGGAAAAUGUACAGGAAAAUUGAUAAUAUUAUAACCGUACCUAGAAUCUGACUACAGUAAGCUAGUAGAGUAUACGAAGGCGUAAUUGAGAUAACAAUCAUAAAGGAACUCGGCAAAUUGACUAUCGUAACUUCGGGAUAAGUAGGGCUCAUUAUUCUUGAUUAAUAUCAGGUAAAGAGGAAGAAACAUAAAAUAAUGUUGUACGACUGUUUAAUUAAAACACAGCACUUUGCUUAAGAUUAAAAAUCUAUGUAUAAAGUGUGAUAUCUGCCCGGUGCCGGCUGGCUAACAGAGAUAAUUGAAUAUUUUACUAUUUGAUGUCGACGGAAGCCCCGGUUAAAGGCGGCCUUAACGUGAGGGUCCUAAGGUAGCGAAAUGCCUUGGCCGUUAAAUGCGGUCUUGCAUGAAUGGUGUAACGAUACAACAGCUGUCUCUAUGAUUGACUCAGUGAAAUUGGAAUAGCUGUGCAGAUACAGCUUACCUCUAGUUAGACGAGAAGACCCUAUGCAGCUUUACUGUCACUAAUUAUAGAUUUUGAUGAACAAUUUUCAGACUAAAAGGGAAUUGAUUAAAUAUCCAUGAGAAACCUUUAUUUUUUCAUCAUCUGAAUGAAUUGGUGUACUAUUUUAUAAUGGUACAUCAUCCUAGUUCAGCUUAAUUUCAUUAAUUAAGAAAUUAAGUACCCUUGGAGAGGAACUAUCGCUAGGGGACAGUUUAUGUGGGGCACAGACCCUGUAAAGAGUAAACAGGUGUGUCUAAUAAUUAUUUUUAUUUUGUUUGCAAUUUUUAAAUAAAUCAUUUUAACUUUGAUAUAACUAUGGGUAUUUAUACGAUUAUAUUUAUAUUGAAAAUUUAGGUAAGAUUUUGACUAUACUGAAAUUAGAGAUAAUUGAAAAUUUUAUGUAGUAAUUACUAAAAUUUUUUAGUUAUUCAGGCGCAAGCUCGAAUAAUUAUGUUUUUAAUAUCUAAAAAGCUCAACGGCUUAAUCUUGCCUUACUGUUUGAUUAUCAACAAAUCUUACAGUUGCGUAAGCAGGGCAUAGGAUCACAAGAUGCAAUAAGGAAAGAUCUUGGAUUAUUGGAAAAGCUACGCUAGGGAUACAGGCUAAUUUGCGCAAGAGUGUACAAAAUGAGUGCGCGGUUUGGCACCUCGAUGUCGGCUUAACUUAUCCUCAUGGAUGCAGAAACUAUGUAGGGUGCGACUGUUCGUCGAUUAAAAAGUUACAUGAGCUGGGUUAAAUACGUCGUGAGACAGUAUGGUUUCUAUCUUCUAGAGGGAAUUAGAAUAAAAUAAGAACGAACUUUUGUACGAAAGGAACAAGAAUAAUUUUUUUUAAAUAAUAGUUACUAACCUAUGGUUUACCUGUUGUUUAUGUGCCUUAAUAUUAAAUAUAUAGCUAAAACUAUAUAUAGAUAUAUACUUAGUUUACUAAGUCUAUAUAGGGAUGUUUCUCUCACUAAGAUAAAUAUAUUACAUAAGCACGGCAGGAAAGCUAAGUUGGUUAAGGAUAAGUGCUGAAAGCAUAUAGGCACGAAGCUUAUCUUAAGAUAUUUCUUAAAUAUAUGUAUUAGAAUAAUACAUAAUAGGCUUUCUUUGUAAGAAUCUAGAGAUUUGUAAGAUGAAAGUACUA